ACUUAUAUUCUGUAGCAAGGUUAACCGAAUAGGGGAGCCGGAGGGAAACCGAGUCUUAAUUGGGCGUUAAGUUGCAGGGUAUAGACCCGAAACCCGGUGAUCUAGCCAUGGGCAGGUUGAAGGUUGGGUAACACUAACUGGAGGACCGAACCGACUAAUGUUGAAAAAUUAGCGGAUGACCUGUGGCUGGGGGUGAAAGGCCAAUCAAACCGGGAGAUAGCUGGUUCUCCCCGAAAGCUAUUUAGGUAGCGCCUCGUGAAUUCAUCUCCGGGGGUAGAGCACUGUUUCGGCUAGGGGGCCAUCCCGGCUUACCAACCCGAUGCAAACUGCGAAUACCGGAGAAUGUUAUCACGGGAGACACACGGCGGGUGCUAACGUCCGUCGUGAAGAGGGAAACAACCCAGACCGCCAGCUAAGGUCCCAAAGUCAUGGUUAAGUGGGAAACGAUGUGGGAAGGCCCAGACAGCCAGGAUGUUGGCUUAGAAGCAGCCAUCAUUUAAAGAAAGCGUAAUAGCUCACUGGUCGAGUCGGCCUGCGCGGAAGAUGUAACGGGGCUAAACCAU
rnacentral:rRNA from 3 species